UGAGAUAGAGAGUUCUCGGCGACAGCGAACACCCUGCCGGCAUGCUCAAACACAUUGGUGUUGAUGAUGUCCUUGUUCGCCUUGCCAAACCUCAGCUACGUUGCAUGCUCACUCGUUUCAGAACAUCAGGUAUGUAGAUAUAUAGUACCUGAAAUCAAUCUGGAUUUGUUGCAAAGUUUUUUUUUGCAUUGCUUACAUAGUUGAGCAUGAAGGCGGCGAUAAUGGCUGCAGAGUCGCCUUCAGUGGCAGGGAGGAAGCAAGGUUUCUGCCGGGCGUUUUCCAGCUUGAACGUCUCAGAUUGCACAUAGCGGUUGGCAUAGGAGAGUG
rnacentral:lncRNA from 1 species